rnacentral:lncRNA from 1 species
CUUUUCUUAUGCUUCUUUUCCUUUUUAUUCCUUUUUUUCUUUCUUUUUUCAAAUUCGCAAAACUGUUUCUUCAUGAAUAUUUUCUGCAAAUCGAUGAACUUUUCUCUUUGAAUUUGAUGAUUUUUUUCGAAAAAUUUGAUGAACGUUUUUUCAGAUCCGAUGAACUUUUUUUUGAAUUCCAUGAACUUUUUUCAAAUUCGAUGAACUAUUUUUCGAAUUCAAUGAACUUUUUCUGAAUUCGAUGAACUUUAUUUCGAAUUCAAUGAACUUUUGAUCGAAUUCGAUGAACUUUUUUAAAUUUGAUGAACUUUUUCAAAUUCUGAUGAACUUUUUGAAAGGACAAGAGUACAUACCGUAGCAAAACGGUUUGUUUUUUCCAAGAAAAUCAGUACACACUGUAGCAUUUUUUGAGCGAGAGAAAUAAAAAAGUGAUCGAGCGGUAGCUAGCGACCGAGCGGCGACAGCAGCGAGCGUUGCUGGGCCAGGCCCAUGCAAGCGACGCAGUGGGCGCCGUGUUCACUCGCUCCACCUCUGCAUUGAUGUCUCUAGCUUGUAGCAAUUGCCAUCCUUUACAUGUAAAGAGGAUUUGAUGAGUCAUGUCAUGCUCUAUAGGCGUCAGUUCAUCUUAUCACCUUAGAGGAAAAUACAAAGUUAGUUUUUCGAAAAGCAACCGAGCCUAGAAGAACCGUACCCUCGACACGCAAGGCUUUAGCAUAUCUUAAUAGCCGAGACACGAUUGCGACUUGGUUCCACACAAGUUUCGUCUUUCUUGUUAAUGGCUGACAGCCCAUACAAGAUUCCAAACUCGGUUGCAAAAGUGAUACUAUCCUGAUAAGUGCGUGACAUGUAAAGUGAAUAAGGUGAUUCAUCUAUAGCAAACUUUAGGAUUUCUAUACUUUGUGUAUAAUCAUAUGCACAACUAAAAAGCAACUUUGAUGAUCAAUCCAAAAGUACGCUUGUAGCUAGUGCAACCUAACACAAUGUACCAAAAAUCCAUUUCAGAAACAUCCAAACAUAAUUAUUAAAGCUGAUGGAAAGAAGGAAAGAGAUGGUGCCCGGGCUACUAUAAAUAGGCAUGAAGUAUCAAGAUCAUCACAGGCACAAUCAUCAAAACCAAGCAAUACUAGUUAACACCAAUCCACCAUGAAGACCUUCCUCAUCUUUGCUCUCCUUGCCAUUGCGGCGACAAGUGCCAUUGCACAAAUGGAGACUAGCCGCGUCCCUGGUUUGGAGAAACCAUGGCAGCAACAACCAUUACCACCACAACAACAACCACCAUGUUCACAGCAACAACAACCAUUUCCACAGCAACAACAACCAAUUAUUAUACUGCAACAAUCACCAUUUUCGCAGCAACAACAACCAGUUCUGCCGCAACAGCAACCAGUUAUUAUACUGCAACAACCACCAUUUUCGCAGCAACAACAACCAGUUCUACCACAACAACCACCAUUUUCACAACAACAACAACAACAACAACAACAACAACCACCAUUUUCGCAGCAACAACAACCAGUUCUACCACAACAACCACCAUUUUCACAACAACAACAACCACCAUUUUCGCAGCAGCAACAACCAUCUUCACAACAACCACCUUUUCCACAACAACACCAACAGUUUCCACAACAACAAAUCCCUGUUGUUCAACCAUCCGUUUUGCAGCAGCUAAACCCAUGCAAGGUGUUCCUCCAACAGCAGUGUAGCCAUGUGGCAAUGUCGCAACGUCUUGCUAGGUCACAAAUGUGGCAACAGAGUAGUUGCCAUGUGAUGCAACAACAAUGUUGCCAACAGCUGCCGCAAAUCCCCGAACAAUCCCGCUCUGAGGCAAUCCGUGCCAUCGUCUACUCCAUCAUCCUGCAAGAACAACAACAGGGUUUUGUCCAACCUCAGCAGCAACAACCCCAACAGUCGGGCCAAGGUGUCUCCCAACACCAACAGCAGUCGCAGCAGCAGCAGCAACUCGGACAGUGUUCUUUCCAACAACCUCAACAACUACAACAAUUGGGUCAGCAGCCUCAACAACAACAGAUACCACAGGGUAUAUUCUUGCAGCCACACCAGAUAUCUCAACUUGAGGUGAUGACUUCCAUUGCACUCCGUACCUUGCCAACGAUGUGCGGUGUCAACGUGCCGUUGUACAGCUCGACCACUAUUAUGCCAUUCAGCAUUGGCACUGGAGUUGGUGGCUACUGAUAAGAAAAGAUUUCUAGUAAUAUAUAGUCGUUAGAUCACCGUUGUUUAGUCGAUGGAUAUGUCGAUGUAGCGGUGACAAAUAAAGUGUCACACAAACGUCAUGUGUGACCCGCAAACUAGUAGUUAAAUUCUGGAAUAAAAUACAAAUAAAGUUUUCUCUAGACAAUGUUCAUACCGGCGUUCUGUGGACGUCGAUGUGACUACCAUGCUUGCAAGUUCAUAAGUUCGUCUUGUCUGGUCACAAACCUGGUGCGUUAAUUUAUUAUUCAUGUAUAGAAAUAAUCAAAAUUUAAAUAUAAUAGUGUUAUUGUAAAAUUUUGGUUGAGUUGAAGCAAGGACUA